UGAGGUCACAGUAGUCAGUUGAAGGUGUGAGUGAGAAAGCUGUCAGCUGGAAUUGCUAACCAGAAAAUAAUCUGCAAUCCCUGGAGACUCUACAUCAAACAUGGAGGCUUUCAGUCCUAGCAGGGCUUGAAAAGGAACACAAGCAAAAACCGAGAUGCUAGAGAUUGGAAAUGAAAAAACAGAAAGUGCUGGAGAAACUCAGCAGGAUCUGUGAAGAUAGAAACAGAGUUAAUAUUUCAAGUCUAAUGUGACCCUUCAUCUGAAUCUUCUGAAGAAAAGUCAUACUGAACCCAAAACAUUAACUCUGUUCCUCAGGUCAGAUUCAUUCCCAAGCACAAGGGGGUCAGAAGAGGUGUAACUGAAAGGGUCAGAGAUAAGUUGUGGGUUAUAACUGGUGAUCUCAGGUUAUAACAAUCUAGCGCUAAGUGAUCUGCAACGGGGUGACUACCGAACCAGGCUGGACUCGAGCGAUUGGCCGUGAGAUGGCAUUGCAGAGGAGUGUGUAGGAGACUGACUCACGCAGGGGAGAAAUCGGGCCCAGGGUGGAGGAGAGUGAGUCCAGAAUGGAGGAACACAUGCCUGGCGUGGAGGAGUGUGUGUCCGGCGUGGAGGAACAUGAACCCAGCGUGAAGGAAUGUGAGCCCAGGAGUGAAGGAGAGCAAGCCCGGCGUGGAGGAGUGUGUGCCCGACGUGCAGGAGAGUGAGACCUCAUGGUAGAACAUCUGCAGACCCAUGGCUAAAGAAGGACUAUAGUUCUUUGUUUUUUCUACUUUAUAUUAAAAAAGACUGUAAUGUUUAAUUUUUAACUUAUUUGUUUAUUUUUCUACUUUGUACCCGGAUACCUUUGCACUAAGAUGGCACCGGGUUUGGUGCCAUUGCAUACUUUACACUGUCCUCCCCUACCCCUGCACUUGA